GGUGCGGCCUGCGCAGGCCCUGUGGGCGCGUGGAGGACCUGCCGGGGGGACAACGCUAAACUCUAAUUUAACGUCGAGUCUGAGCAAAACACAAAUCGCUGCAAACUUUCACCAACGGAUCUCUUGGCUCUGGCCUAUAUGAGCAACGCAGACCAAUGCGAUAAGUAAUGUGAAUUGCCGAAUUCAGUGAAUCAUCGAAUCUUUGAACGCACAUUGCGCCCUCUGGUAUUCCGGAGGGGCAUGCCUGUUCGAGCGUCAUUUCAAACCUCAAGCCUCGGCUUGGUCUUGGGCACCGUCCGCAAGGACGCGCCAGAAACAUGUAGGCAGUGGUGCCCGUCUCCCAGCGUAGUCAAUCUACCCGCUUCGGAGCGCGCGGUGCCGCACGCCAGAUAACCCCCAAUUACUUCUAUGGUUUGACCUCGGAUCAGGUAGGGAUACCCGCUGAACUUAAGC
rnacentral:rRNA from 1 species